rnacentral:tRNA from 1 species
GGAGGAGUGGCCGAGCGGUUGAAGGCGCGGGUCUCGAAAACCCGUAUACUGGAAACAGUAUCGUGAGUUCGAAUCUCACCUCCUCCG